ensembl:lncRNA
AUGUGCAUUGCUUGUUGUACUACUGUUCUUUAUGAAAAAAAAAAAAACAACUCUUACUUUGCUAAAUUCAUUUGCUUGUACUCACAGUGGAUCAUGGCCAGGUAUGAAGAGGAAAUGGAUCUCAUUUUUGGAACUCAAGAAACUGAGUCUCCAAGCCAUAAAGAAAUAGGUUUAUUCAGAGAGUCUCACAAUAAAUUCAGACUUCUUGUCAAGACCAAAAAACCUAAAGAACUGUGAGAGACCUUCCUAUAUACCCUCAAAGAAUAUCAUAAUUUUUAUACCAAGUUAAAAAUAAUACAAGACCAUGUUAAAAUAGAGAGAUGUGGAUUGAUUGAAGUAAUAGGGAAACAUUUCUCUCAUUGGUAGAAGUCUCUUGAUAAACAAGAGGAGAGUAGGGGAGCCUGAACCCUGCUUUCUAAGCCUGAUGAUGUCAAGGUUGAUGUAUACUAAGAUGACUAGGAUAAGGAGGAGGUAUCAGGCCUUAAAAAAGGGUAAAAGCCUGAUGAUGUAUAAGGAAUGAAUACAAAGGUGAAAGGGUGUCACCAGGGUUCUAACUGAGGCAAAAGCCCAUAUGCUAAUGAAGGCCAAGUCACAAGUUCAAGACAAUCAUUGCUGAGGGUUUAUGAUAUAAUAGUUUUGAAGGGUAAGGCUAGAACUGAGGCCUAUGCUAACAAUGAUUAAUUAUAUUCAAGCGGUUAUCUUACUUUAAAACUUAAUCUAAAAUAAUCACAAAAGACCUACUAAGAUCAUCAACUGUGCUAAUAUUUAAUUAUCUUAGAAUUACAGUUAUCACUAACUCACAGCUGCUGCCAACAUUAAAAUCUAAUCCUCAUAUGAGGGGGUAGGGGAUUUUUCCCCUCACACUCUCCAAUAUAAUUAAGCUCCUUGAGAUGAUAUUUUUUUUCUUUGUGCCAUGACUGGUACUUAAAAAUUGUAUACUGGUGGCUUAAUUGUUAAAUUUAAAAUUCAAUUGUUCCAAACCAAAAAAGCCUUCUCUGACGAAAGUGUUCUCUCCUUCCUCAAAUUUUCUGAGUUUUCUUCUCUUUUGCUAGAUUUAGAACCAGAGGAUUUUGGUAAUAUAUAGCUAUGUGACCUUUGUAACACUUGGUAUACUUUUUACCAUUACUAGGUUUGACAUAUAUCAGCUGUGAAAUGAGAAAGUUGGACUAGGUGACCUGAAAAGUCCCUUUAGCUCUAAAAUCUGAGUUGACUUUGUCCAAUACUUAUUAGUGUGUAGAUUGUAUAUAUCCCAUAUACCAAAGUCAACUGCCUUAAGAAAAGAUAUGUGUCAUUCAUCAUUUCAUAUCCCCAUUUCACUAUAAGUUUCCUCAUUCAAUAGUUCACAACUAUAGAAUUAAGUUUAAUGGAAUGCAUUUAGUAACAAUCAUUUUGCUCAUUAAUAAAUUUACAUGAGUUUAUAAAAACA